CUCGCGUCGUCUGUUGAAAAGAUGAUUUGCAAUUUUUCAUAGAAGCCAGAAGAUUGAAAAUUAUUCACAGGAAAAACAUUUUAAAUUGUUUUGAGACAAACAAAAUCAACAUUCUAUUAAACAAAAGACAGAGUAAACGAAUUUACGUGCUUUUCCAUGCAUUGUAAGAAUCCAAGAACAUAGAACAUGUAAUCUCUGAUAAAAAAAAACACCAAAAGAUUGCUACGAUAAAACUGUUGAGUAACUACUUGUAAUACAGAAUGCAUCAAUAAUCAAGAUGGUGGUAUGCUACAUAUAAUAUUGAUACUAUGACAGAUGAGAAAAGAAACUGAAGACAUAACCAAGUGCUGAACAGCAAAGAUUAAGAUAUAAGGAGCAGAUAUUUUCCUGAAGAUGUAAUUAAUAUCUGCAAAGAUAAUGUGAAGGGAACAGAGGCUAUCAUGAUGAUUCUUUAAAAGAAAAGAUACAGAAACACAAGCUCCUGUAGACACUUAUGAAAAAGAAGAUGCUUUUGCAAUGCAUCUGUGUGAAUGUG